UACGGAGGGGGCUAGCGUUGUUCGGAAUUACUGGGCGUAAAGCGCACGUAGGUGGCUUUGUAAGUUAGAGGUGAAAGCCCAGGGCUCAACCCUGGAAUUGCCUUUAAGACUGCAUCGCUUGAACAUCGGAGAGGUAAGUGGAAUUCCGAGUGUAGAGGUGAAAUUCGUAGAUAUUCGGAAGAACACCAGUGGCGAAGGCGACUUACUGGACGAUUGUUGACGCUGAGGAGCGAAAGCGUGGGGAGCAAACAGG
rnacentral:rRNA from 1 species